UAGAGUUUGAUCCUGGCUCAGGACGAACGCUGGGGGCGUGCUUAACACAUGCAAGUCGAACGAGGUCCAUCCUUCGGGAGAAGACCUAGUGGCGAACGGGUGCGUAACACGUGAGGAACUUGUCCCGGUCUCUGGGAUAACAGUUGGAAACGACUGCUAAUACCGGAUGACGUCGGAGCGUCGCAUGGCGCGCUGACGAAAGGGUUACCGGAUCGGGAGAGCCUCGCGGCCUAUCAGCUUGUUGGUGGGGUAACGGCCUACCAAGGCAUCGACGGGUAGCUGGUCUGAGAGGAUGAUCAGCCACACUGGGACUGAGACACGGCCCAGACUCCUACGGGAGGCAGCAGUGGGGAAUCUUGCGCAAUGGGCGAAAGCCUGACGCAGCAACGCCGCGUGCGGGAAGAAGGCUCUCGGGUUGUAAACCGCUUCAGAAGGAACGAAACUGACGGUACUUCAGAAGA
rnacentral:rRNA from 1 species